rnacentral:rRNA from 1 species
ANNGCCGCUUANCANGCNAGUCGAGCGAUGAAAUUUCGACAGAUCCCUUCGNGGUGAAGAUGAAAUGGAUUAGCGGCGGACGGGUGAGAUAACACGCUGAGUAACCUGCCUUAGACAUUGGGAUAGCCUCGGGAAACCGGGAUUAAUACCAAAUGAAAUCACAUAUGCACNUGCAUAAAUGAUCAAAGCUCCGGCGGUCUAAGAUGGACUCGCGUCCCAUUANCUAGUUGGUGAGGUAACGGCCCACCAAGGCGACGAUGGGUAGCCGGCCUGAGAGGGUGAACGGCCACAUUGGAACUGAGAAACGGUCCAAACUCCUACGGGAGGGCAGCAGA